GACAGAGGUGCCAAGCGUUAGGCGGAAUCACUGGGCUUAAAGCGUGUGUAGGCGGAAUUGUAAGUACCUUGUGAAAUCCCACGGCUCAACUGUGGAACUGCUUGGUAUACUGCCGGUCUUGAGCCAGCUAGGGGCUACCGGAACAAAUGGUGGAGCGGUGAAAUGCGUAGAUAUCAUUUGGAACGCCAAUGGUGAAAACAGGUAGCUGGGGCUGUGCUGACGCUGAGGCACGAAAGCUAGGGGAGCGAACGGG
rnacentral:rRNA from 1 species